AAUCAACGCUGGCGGCGUGCCUAACACAUGCAAGUCGUGCGCGAAAGGGGCUUCGGCCCUGAGUAGAGCGGCAAACGGGUGAGUAACGCGUGGGUGACCUACCCUCGAGUGGGGGAUAACGUCCCGAAAGGGACGCUAAUACCGCAUGACAUCCCGUCCUUGGACGGAUGGAGAUCAAAGCCGGGGAUCGCAAGACCUGGCGCUUGAGGAGGGGCCCGCGUUCGAUUAGCUAGUUGGUGGGGUAAUGGCCCACCAAGGCGACGAUCGAUAGCCGGCCUGAGAGGGCGGACGGCCACACUGGGACUGAGACACGGCCCAGACUCCUACGGGAGGCAGCAGUGGGGAAUUGUUCGCAAUGGGCGCAAGCCUGACGACGCAACGCCGCGUGGAGGAUGAAGAUCUUCGGGUCGUAAACUCCUGUCGACCGGGACGAAACCUGCGGGGGCGAACAGCUCCUGCAGUUGACGGUACCGGUGGAGGAAGCCCCGGCUAACUCCGUGCCAGCAGCCGCGGUAAUACGGGGGGGGCAAGCGUUGUUCGGAAUUACUGGGCGUAAAGGGCUCGUAGGCGGCCGCACAAGUCCGACGUGAAAUCCCACGGCUCAACCGUGGAACUGCGUCGGAAACUAGGUGGCUUGAAUCCAAGAGAGGGAUGCGGAAUUCCAGGUGUAGCGGUGAAAUGCGUAGAUAUCUGGAGGAACACCGGUGGCGAAGGCGGCAUCCUGGAUUGGCAUUGACGCUGAGGAGCGAAAGCCAGGGGAGCAAACGGGAUUAGAUACCCCGGUAGUCCUGGCCCUAAACGAUGAAUGCUUGUUG
rnacentral:rRNA from 1 species